UACGAAGGGGGCUAGCGUUGCUCGGAAUCACUGGGCGUAAAGCGCACGUAGGCGGAUUGUUAAGUCAGGGGUGAAAUCCUGGAGCUCAACUCCAGAACUGCCUUUGAUACUGGCGAUCUUGAGUCCGGGAGAGGUGAGUGGAACUGCGAGUGUAGAGGUGAAAUUCGUAGAGAUGUGGAGGAACACCAGUGGCGAAGGCGACUCUUUGGCCUGUAACUGACACUGAGGCGCGAAAGCGUGGGGAGCAAACAGG
rnacentral:rRNA from 1 species